AUGCCCUUCCGAUGCAACGACUCCGAGCUGACCACUAUCAACGACGAGCUUGCUUGUGCCGUCGUCUGCUUCCCCAUCACCUAUCUCGGCAUCCCUCUUUCGGUGAGAAAGCCCUCCGCUACGUCGCUUCAGCCGAUCAUCGAGAAGCUUGCCAAGAAGCUUUCCACCUGGCGCGCGGCGCUUCUCUCCCGCGGCGAGCGCCUCGCUCUGGUUCGCCAUGUGCUUUGCGCAACCCCAUCUCACAUCAUGGUGGUCAUCGCUCUCUGUCUGACGGUUCUCAAGCAGGUGGACCGGACCAUUAGAGACUUCCUCUGGCACGGCAGGAAGGAGACCCGCGACGGCCAUGGCCCUGUGCAUUGGCAGCGCAUCUGCCAGCCCCUUCAGCUGGGUGGACUCGGCAUUCCGGACCUUCACCGCCAGGGGAUCUCACUUCGAGUACGUUGGCUAUGGCUGCAGUGUACUGACCCCACCAGGCAUUGGGCGCACCUACACCUCCAUAGUGACCCAGACACAUCCACCAUCUUCCGAGCAUCCACGACUUGGGCCGUCGGCGACGGCUGGAUGGAUCCCUGGAUCGAUGGCCACACUACAAAAUAA
rnacentral:rRNA from 1 species